rnacentral:rRNA from 1 species
GAUGAACGCUGGCGGCGUGCCUAAUACAUGCAAGUCGAACGCAUAGCGAAAGGUGCUUGCACCUUUCAAGUGAGUGGCGAACGGGUGAGUAACACGUGGACAACCUGCCUCAAGGCUGGGGAUAACAUUUGGAAACAGAUGCUAAUACCGAAUAAAACUUAGUGUCGCAUGACACAAAGUUAAAAGGCGCUUCGGCGUCACCUAGAGAUGGAUCCGCGGUGCAUUAGUUAGUUGGUGGGGUAAAGGCCUACCAAGACAAUGAUGCAUAGCCGAGUUGAGAGACUGAUCGGCCACAUUGGGACUGAGACACGGCCCAAACUCCUACGGGAGGCUGCAGUAGGGAAUCUUCCACAAUGGGCGAAAGCCUGAUGGAGCAACGCCGCGUGUGUGAUGAAGGCGUUCGGGUCGUAAAGCACUGUUGUAUGGGAAGAACAGCUAGAAUAGGAAAUGAUUUUAGUUUGACGGUACCAUACCAGAAAGGGACGGCUAAAUACGUG